AGCGCAUCCUGGCCGGUCGUCCUUAAUUCAGGUUGUAGACGAAGCAUCCGUCGUAACAAAUCCAAACCAAGAGGAUCAAAUGUUGGAAAUAGGUAGGCGAGAUCUUGUGCUUUAUAAAUAGGGAAAGUAGGCUUAUAUUCAGGAAGUAAAGAAAUUCCGGGCCAUGAUUGUUCAGUAGGAGUUCCCAAUAAUCGGAAGAUUUUUAGUAGCUGAUCCUCAUUAUUUGACCCAGCAAAUAGAGGACGUCCUGUAGCCAUUUCUGCCAUGAUACAACCAACUGACCAAAUAUCAAUGGAAGUUGAAUAUACUCGAGAACCCAAAAGAACGUCAGGAGCACGAUACCAUAAGGUGACCACUUCGUUUGAAAAAGUAUUCACUGGAAUUCCAAUUGAACGGGCUAACCCAAAAUCCGCCAAUUUCAAUUCACCACGACUGUUGAUAAGCAAAUUUUGAGGUUUCAGAUCACGAUGUAGAACUCGGUUUUCGUGACAAAAAGAUAUCCCUUUGAGUAAUUGUUGAGUAAAAUUUUUUACUUGAGAAGGUGGAAGAGCUCCUUGGUUCCCAUAAGUGUCCAUGUACUUUUUCAAAUCUUUUUCCAUAUAUUCAAAAACGAGCAUAAGCUUAUUUUCGGUUUGCAAAACGUCUGAGAGAGACAUAAUAUUGGGAUGCCUAAGCUCCUUCAUAAGACUAAUCUCACGGAUAGCAGUACUAGGUGUUCCUUCAUCUGCAUCAAUACGAAUAACUUUGAGAGCGACAAUUUCACCAGUCACUCGAUUUUGCCCCUUAUAAACAUGCGCAUAUGUUCCCUCUCCUACUUAAGUUAAUGAAAUUGCAAAUUUUGGGACCUCAAACUCAUACUUACCUAACUUUUCAAGCCUUUGGUAGUUCAUGUUGUGCGAUGGAAAUAUCAAGUGCCUCCUCUACGAUGACUAACGACUUAAGGUGAUGUUAAGCUAACAAAACUGUUUUUAAGACCUACAGUUUUGAAGAAUAUGCUAAGAAAAAAAAUUUUUAGUCUAUUGAGUCAUGUCGAACAUCUUGCUAUAAUGUAAACUAUUGUAAUUAAGAUCACUACAGCUUCUAUCACAAAUUAACCUAAUGAUAAUUAAUCAGAAGGUUGCCAUCUGUAGAAAACACAUAAGUAUUAAUAAACC